rnacentral:tRNA from 1 species
GGCAUGGCUCAGAGGUAGAGCACUUCCUUGGUAAGGAAGGGGUCACGGGUUCAAUUCCCGUUGCC